rnacentral:rRNA from 1 species
UACGUAGGGGGCAAGCGUUGUCCGGAUUUAUUGGGCGUAAAGAGCGUGUAGGCGGCUAGGUAGGUCCGUUGUGAAAACUGGAGGCUCAACCUCCAGACGUCGACGGAAAACCGUGUGGCUAGAGUCCGGAAGAGGAGAGUGGAAUUCCUGGUGUAGCGGUGAAAUGCGCAGAUAUCAGGAGGAACACCCGUGGCGAAAGCGGCUCUCUGGGACGGUACUGACGCUGAGACGCGAAAAGCAUGGGGAGCGAACAGG